UGGGGAAUAUUGGACAAUGGGCGGAAGCCUGAUCCAGCAACGCCGCGUGAGGGAUGACGGCCUUCGGGUUGUAAACCUCUUUCAGCACAGACGAAGCGCAAGUGACGGUAUGUGCAGAAGAAGGACCGGCCAACUACGUGCCAGCAGCCGCGGUAAUACGUAGGGUCCGAGCGUUGUCCGGAAUUAUUGGGCGUAAAGGGCUCGUAGGCGGUUUGUCGCGUCGGGAGUGAAAACACCGGGCUUAACUCGGUGCUUGCUUUCGAUACGGGCAGACUAGAGGUAUUCAGGGGGAGAACGGAAUUCCUGGUGUAGCGGUGAAAUGCGCAGAUAUCAGGAGGAACACCGGUGGCGAAGGCGGUUCUCUGGGAAUAUCCUGACGCUGAGGAGCGAAAGU
rnacentral:rRNA from 1 species